rnacentral:sRNA from 1 species
UUAUUAAUAUGUUGUUUUAAUAGGGGUUAAAACUUCAGUUUUUUAACAAUUGUCUCAUGGAUUCGUGGUAUAGCGUUACUUAAUAGCAAUUAUAAACUGUAAAAUAUAAAUAUUUUAUAAAAAUAAAAUUUGCAAGUUUAAAUAUAUAUUACUUUUAAAAAAUAAAUCGGCCCGCGGUAUACCGCGGGUUAAAAUCUAGUUUGUAAGUUUAAUAUGCUAAGGGAAGCUAAUUUGUAUUUUUAGCAACAAACUUUUGAAUCCCAUU